UGGGGAAUUUUGGACAAUGGGCGAAAGCCUGAUCCAGCAAUGCCGCGUGUGUGAAGAAGGCCUUCGGGUUGUAAAGCACUUUUGUCCGGAAAGAAAUCCUUGGCUCUAAUACAGUCGGGGGAUGACGGUACCGGAAGAAUAAGCACCGGCUAACUACGUGCCAGCAGCCGCGGUAAUACGUAGGGUGCAAGCGUUAAUCGGAAUUACUGGGCGUAAAGCGUGCGCAGGCGGUUUGCUAAGACCGAUGUGAAAUCCCCGGGCUCAACCUGGGAACUGCAUUGGUGACUGGCAGGCUAGAGUAUGGCAGAGGGGGGUAGAAUUCCACGUGUAGCAGUGAAAUGCGUAGAGAUGUGGAGGAAUACCGAUGGCGAAGGCAGCCCCCUGGGCCAAUACUGACGCUCAUGCACGAAAGCGUGGGGAGCAAACAGGAUUCAGAUACCCUGGUAGUCCACGCCCUAAAACGAUGUCAACUAGUUGUUGGGGAUUCAUUUCCUUAGUAACGUAGCUAACGCGUGAAGUUGACCGCCUGGGGAGUACGGUCG
rnacentral:rRNA from 1 species